AUUGAACGCUGGCGGCAGGCCUAACACAUGCAAGUCGAGCGGAUGAAGGGAGCUUGCUCCUGGAUUCAGCGGCGGACGGGUGAGUAAUGCCUAGGAAUCUGCCUGGUAGUGGGGGAUAACGUCCGGAAACGGGCGCUAGUACCGCAUACGUCCUGAGGGAGAAAGUGGGGGAUCUUCGGACCUCACGCUAUCAGAUGAGCCUAGGUCGGAUUAGCUAGUUGGUGGGGUAAAGGCCCACCAAGGCGACGAUCCGUAACUGGUCUGAGAGGAUGAUCAGUCACACUGGAACUGAGACACGGUCCAGACUCCUACGGGAGGCAGCAGUGGGGAAUAUUGGACAAUGGGCGAAAGCCUGAUCCAGCCAUGCCGCGUGUGUGAAGAAGGUCUUCGGAUUGUAAAGCACUUUAAGUUGGGAGGAAGGGCAGUAAGUUAAUACCUUGCUGUUUUGACGUUACCAACAGAAUAAGCACCGGCUAACUUCGUG
rnacentral:rRNA from 1 species